CCCUUAGAUGUCCUGGGCCGCACGCGCGCUACACUGAUGCAUUCAACGAGUUCUACCUUGGCCGAGAGGCCUGGGCAAUCUUUUGAACCUGCAUCGUGAUAGGGAUAGAUUAUUGCAAUUAUUAAUCUUGAACGAGGAAUUCCUAGUAAACGCAGAUCAUCAAUCUGCAUUGAUUACGUCCCUGCCCUUUGUACACACCGCCCGUCGCACCUACCGAUUGAAUGGUCCGGUGAAGCCUCGGGAUUGUGGCGAGUUCCCUUUAUUGGGAGUUUGUCGCGAGAACUUGUCUAAACCUUAUCAUUUAGAGGAAGGAGAAGUCGUAACA
rnacentral:rRNA from 1 species